rnacentral:piRNA from 1 species
AAUGCCAUCUGUGUUGGAGCCUG